rnacentral:lncRNA from 1 species
AGACCAAAUAAUGACCUGAUCAAUAACCAGAACAUGUGGCUUCUGCUCUUGAUCUUCAGAGGACGAAAAUGUUCCUUUAGAUCCAAAAAGCGGCAAUUCUAUAGGGGAAGUGAAAGAGGAAGGUGAUGUUUAUGGUUGUGACCUCUGGGAUAGACUCUAUAGGGAGCCAAAUGUUUGACAACUGUGACUACUCAGAUGAAGGAAGCCAAGGUCUACAAUUUGACUGAGCAACAAUCACCAUGAGCCAACCUGAAAAUACAAGGAUGUUGGAAGGUGGAAGAAUAAAUUUGGAUGGGGGAACUUGAACUCUUAAAUGCUGAUGGAAAGGAGCUGAUAAUGAUGAAGAGACAGAAGAUAUAGAUGAGAGGCAAGACUAUUGAUGGCCCAAGGCUCUGGAGAAGGGAGGUGCGGCAGGAAUGCAACGCACAGUUGGUCUACCAAGAAUGUGUUCUUCUGCAACUGACUGCAUUCUACCUGUAACCAGAAGUCCCUUUGGAGUCAACUUUUAAGAGUUUGGGGCAGUUAUGUCCUUCCAACCUAAGAGCUUUAAGGAGAUCUUCACCUAUCUUUCCAGGAGCUUCAGAAGGAGAACACUGAGAGAUAUCUGGCCGCUCACAGAGCCUACCCUGCAAACCUCAGUGCAAGAGGUGAUGUUAAUCUGGAUGUGAACCCAGGAGAGCAUUGGAUCUCAGAACAUCCACUGAGUCAGUGGACUCAUGUCUACGGAAGUGACUGUCAUUAUCCUUAAGUGUGGGCUGUGUUUGUGACUUAAGUAGACUCAUUUAUGUCUCCUAAAUACAUAUUCCUUUUGGGAUUGAAUUUGUAGAACCCUUCACUUUGGCUCAUUCUGAUUUUCUCUCUGGUUUUUCUACCAUUGUGACGUCCUACCUCUGCUCUCGACAUAACUUUCCCUGACCACUUGGUUGUACCUUGGCAUUUCAAAACACUUGACAGACUUUAUUUUACUGGAUCCUUAUAAUGAGCUUCUGUGGCUAGGCGUGGCCUAGGUUCCACUUUAUAGACAAGGAAACCACAGGUCAAGAAGUUAAGCACAAUCCGUAACAGCAGUGACAAGAUUUAAAACCAGGUCACUUUUCUGCUUUUUUCCUACUAUAUCAUUAUAUGAAUUGAUCCUAGCUCUGAGAUGAUAGAUGAUACUAGAGUAAGAACACCUCUUUCCAUCUGGUAUAUGGUUGAAAAGGGAAGAUUCUGCACAAAUCAAUAUGGAAGGCAGUUUUACCUUUUCCUAUAACUUCCUUUCUGGGGCCCGACACUCACCAAGCUUAGAUGAUAGGAAGGGGACUUAUAGAACUUAACUCAAAGCAGAGCCAGUGGUGGAGAUGCUCAGCAUCAUACAGCAUGAGGUGAGCAUCCUUGGGAGUGACAGGGCUAAUGGUCCUGGAGCUGGCUUGACCUUGAAUUGCACUAGUGAGGUCCAAGUUUCUUCCUGCCUCUCUUUCAGUCUCAACUUCAUUCAUGGAUUAGUACUUUUUCUCCCCUAUGUAGAUCCACUUAGAGGAAAUUGGACAGAACAGAAUAACCAGAUGUUUAAGCUGAGGCCAGGAGAGGUGGGAUGUGAGGGAGUGGGAGUUCCUAAGGGACAUGCUCUGAUAAACAGAGACAGUCAAUUACAUGGGGGAACUGAGAAGUGAAUGAUGGACUUCCAAGCUCACUGAGAUUGAGGAUCAGUUGUAUAAGGCAAAGCAAACUAUUGGACCCAACGGUCUCAUUUGAUAAUUUGAUAGUUUAACAAAAUGAUACGAACCAGCCCCGUGACCGAAAGGUUAAGUUCUCAAGCUCUGCUUUGGUGGCCCAGGGAUUCGCUGGUUCAAAUCAAUGAGCGACAUGGCGCCUCUCAUCAAGCCAUGCUGAGGCAGCAUCCCACAUGC